AGUGGCAGACGGGUGAGUAACACGUGGGAACAUACCUUUUGGUUCGGAACAACUGAGGGAAACUUCAGCUAAAACCGGAUAAGCCCCGAGGGGGAAAGAUUUAUCGCCAUUAGAUUGGCCCGCGUCCGAUUAGCUAGUUGGUGGGGUAAAGGCCUACCAAGGCGACGAUCGGUAGCUGUUCUGAGAGGAAGAUCAGCCACACUGGGACUGAGACACGGCCCAGACUCCUACGGGAGGCAGCAGUGGGGAAUAUUGGACAAUGGGCGCAAGCCUGAUCCAGCCAUGCCGCGUGGAUGAAGAAGGCCCUAGGGUUGUAAAGUCCUUUCGGUGGUGAAGAUAAUGACGGUAACCACAGAAGAAGCCCCGGCUAAUUUCGUGCCAGCAGCCGCGGUAAUACGAAAGGGGCUAGCGUUGUUCGGAAUUACUGGGCGUAAAGCGCACGUAGGCGGCAUUGUAAGAUGGGGGUGAAAUCCCCGGGCUCAACCCGGGAACUGCCUUCAUGACUGCAAAGCUCGAGGAUGCGAGAGGUGAGUGGAAUUCCGAGUGUAGAGGUGAAAUUCGUAGAUAUUC
rnacentral:rRNA from 1 species